rnacentral:lncRNA from 1 species
AGGUUUGAGGUUGUAGCAUUCUUUGGGGCGGAUUAUGGUAAUGUCGAAUAAACAACAGUACAUCCUCUCACCAGUUUUAUGGAUUUUAAUUUCCAGCAUAAAAUACGUACAAUGUGUGAGUUGGGUAUAUAUGAAGCUGUGGGUGUAUCAAAUUAAAUAUAGAUUUAAUCUCCCCCAUCAUGCAGGUUCUGGUGUGACAUCUUGCAGCACACAUUUUUCACCAUCACAAGAGAGAAAUGGUGUUGUUGCUGGCUCUGCUGACAGCUUGCCACCGCGCUCAGAGCAAGGCACAGAGGCAUCUUUGGCACCGAGUGGCCUUGAGCUCCUGCUCGCAGCUGUGGACUGCAUUGAUGGCACUGUGCCCUCUUGCGCAACAAAGUCUCCAUUCCAGGAGGACACACAUAAUGUUACCUG